rnacentral:lncRNA from 1 species
UUUAGAGAACCCUCCCUCCCAACACCAGCCAGCUCUUGUCUCCACACUCUCAUUUGGCUUCUAAGAGCUUCCAGAGCUCAGUUUUUCAGAUCCCCAGGGUUAAGAGGUAGAAACAGACCUCAUUUCUUCCCUAGAUAUUUCCAGCCGGAGGCUCCACAUAUCCCAGGUCUCAGAGCUCCCGGCAAGCCCUCACAGGGCUGUCCAAGAAGACUUCUGUGCUCCAGCCGCAGCUGAGGCCAGUGGAAGCUUCCAUCCUGUCAACGAUGGCCCCUUAGGGACAAGGGGGCAGGGAAGAGCAAGAGGAAUGUGUCCUCGUGAUCACCAUCUGCUGAGGGGAGCCCACUGGAGUUUUAGAUCCUCCCUCCCAAGCCAGAAGUUUCUUCUUGGAAGGGAAGGUGGAGGACAGCUGAAGCUGGGGAAAGACUGUUAAUGCCAUCAGGUCAGUGUGGGAGGAUGCGGUGUGAAGGUUUUAGUGUUAGAAGAUGAGGUCACAUUAGUCCUCUCCAGGUUCUGGGGGAAUCAUUUGUCCUCAAAUUCGUGGUUCACACUAUGUACCUGAGGGCCGUCCUGCCUCAAGGCAGCACCAGGAGACACAGUUACAGGGGCAAGUUGGGAAAUAUGAGACAGUUCCCAAACCAGGCUGAGGACCUUCACUCCCUCCCUUAAGAGGAAUAAUUAGAGCCUUGCCAGGCCCAGCCCUACUGGUCAUCUCCCCCAUCCACCUUCAUCCAGGUUUUUCUGAGUCAUUGGGCGAGAUCGGGCCCCUCCAGCCAGUUGCACAGGCGUGUUCUGAGCCUCUCUGUCUGCCUAGGGCCCCUCCUCCAUUUGCAGUUCUGGAGGAGCUGGGAGCCUCCUCUGAAACGGAAGAAUAUCGUGGAGAUGGAGUGGUUGGGAGAAAAGCCCACAUUUAGUUCGCGGAUGCUGUCCUCUUCGUCACCAUUAACCCCACCGAGCAGAGCGGUCACAGCCUCCCUGGGCUCUCCAUGCCUUCCAUGCCAGUGCUCUGAGACAUUCCAGAUCUUCAGUCAAGCUCUUCUCCUCCUCCAUUCUCAGAGCCUGAAGAAGAAUUUCUGCCUGCAGAAAGUCAACUGCUUUUUCCAGCGCAGGGCAGAACCGACCUUGGAGUCCUGGAGAGUUCCAGGGGUCCUGUAAGGCCGCGGCUGUUCACUUCCCUUCAAUAAAUUUUCCUGCACUUGUCCUGGUUGGAUGUUCUCUUCUGCUGUCAGGGUCAUUGAGGGGAGGUGCAGGUUGGUGACCUUGACCAGUGAAUAGGUCCCUGACUUAAGAGGGAAGCUGGGACAAACCCUGUGUUUGCCUCUGCUUUGAAGAGCUCAAC